UACGAAGGGGGCUAGCGUUGUUCGGAAUUACUGGGCGUAAAGCGCACGUAGGCGGGGCUUUAAGUCAGGGGUGAAAUCCUGGAGCUCAACUCCAGAACUGCCUUUGAUACUGAAGAUCUUGAGUUCGGGAGAGGUGAGUGGAACUGCGAGUGUAGAGGUGAAAUUCGUAGAUAUUCGCAAGAACACCAGUGGCGAAGGCGGCUCACUGGCCCGAUACUGACGCUGAGGCACGAAAGCGUGGGGAGCAAACAGG
rnacentral:rRNA from 1 species